GGUUAAGCGACUAAGCGUACACGGUGGAUGCCCUGGCAGUCAGAGGCGAUGAAGGACGUGCUAAUCUGCGAUAAGCGUCGGUAAGGUGAUAUGAACCGUUAUAACCGGCGAUUUCCGAAUGGGGAAACCCAGUGUGAUUCGUCACACUAUCAUUAACUGAAUCCAUAGGUUAAUGAGGCGAACCGGGGAACUGAAACAUCUAAGUACCCCGAGGAAAAGAAAUCAACCGAGAUUCCCCCAGUAGCGGCGAGCGAACGGGGAGCAGCCCAGAGCCUGAAUCAGUGUGUGUGUUAGUGGAAGCGUCUGGAAAGGCGCGCGAUACAGGGUGACAGCCCCGUACACAAAAAUGCACAUAUUGUGAGCUCGAUGAGUAGGGCGGGACACGUGGUAUCCUGUCUGAAUAUGGGGGGCCCAUCCUCCAAGGCUAAAUACUCCUGACUGACCGAUAGUGAACCAGUACCGUGAGGGAAAGGCGAAAAGAACCCCGGCGAGGGGAGUGAAAAAGAACCUGAAACCGUGUACGUACAAGCAGUGGGAGCACGCUUAGGCGUGUGACUGCGUACCUUUUGUAUAAUGGGUCAGCGACUUAUAUUCUGUAGCAAGGUUAACCGAAUAGGGAGCCGAAGGGAAACCGAGUCUUAACUGGGCGUUAAGUUGCAGGGUAUAGACCCGGAAACCCGGUGAUCUCAGCCAUGGGCAGGUUGAAGGUUGGGUAACACUAACUGGAGGACCGAACCGACUAAUGUUGAAAAAUUAGCGGAUGACUUGUGGCUGGGGGUGAAAGGCCAAUCAAACCGGGAGAUAGCUGGUUCUCCCCGAAAGCUAUUUAGGUAGCGCCUCGUGAAUUCAUCUCCGGGGGUAGAGCACUGUUUCGGCAAGGGGGUCAUCCCGACUUACCAACCCGAUGCAAACUGCGAAUACCGGAGAAUGUUAUCACGGGAGACACACGGCGGGUGCUAACGUCCGUCGUGAAGAGGGAAACAACCCAGACCGCCAGCUAAGGUCCCAAAGUCAUGGUUAAGUGGGAAACGAUGUGGGAAGGCCCAGACAGCCAGGAUGUUGGCUUAGAAGCAGCCAUCAUUUAAAGAAAGCGUAAUAGCUCACUGGUCGAGUCGGCCUGCGCGGAAGAUGUAACGGGGCUAAACCAUGCACCGAAGCUGCGGCAGCGACGCUUAUGCGUUGUUGGGUAGGGGAGCGUUCUGUAAGCCUGCGAAGGUGUGCUGUGAGGCAUGCUGGAGGUAUCAGAAGUGCGAAUGCUGACAUAAGUAACGAUAAAGCGGGUGAAAAGCCCGCUCGCCGGAAGACCAAGGGUUCCUGUCCAACGUUAAUCGGGGCAGGGUGAGUCGACCCCUAAGGCGAGGCCGAAAGGCGUAGUCGAUGGGAAACAGGUUAAUAUUCCUGUACUUGGUGUUACUGCGAAGGGGGGACGGAGAAGGCUAUGUUGGCCGGGCGACGGUUGUCCCGGUUUAAGCGUGUAGGCUGGUUUUCCGAGCAAAUCCGGAAAAUCAAGGCUGAGGCGUGAUGACGAGGCACUACGGUGCUGAAGCAACAAAUGCCCUGCUUCCAGGAAAAGCCUCUAAGCAUCAGGUAACAUCAAAUCGUACCCCAAACCGACACAGGUGGUCAGGUAGAGAAUACCAAGGCGCUUGAGAGAACUCGGGUGAAGGAACUAGGCAAAAUGGUGCCGUAACUUCGGGAGAAGGCACGCUGAUAUGUAGGUGAAGUCCCUUGCGGAUGGAGCUGAAAUCAGUCGAAGAUACCAGCUGGCUGCAACUGUUUAUUAAAAACACAGCACUGUGCAAACACGAAAGUGGACGUAUACGGUGUGACGCCUGCCCGGUGCCGGAAGGUUAAUUGAUGGGGUCAGCGCAAGCGAAGCUCUUGAUCGAAGCCCCGGUAAACGGCGGCCGUAACUAUAACGGUCCUAAGGUAGCGAAAUUCCUUGUCGGGUAAGUUCCGACCUGCACGAAUGGCGUAAUGAUGGCUGUGCUGUCUCCACCCGAGACUCAGUGAAAUUGAACUCGCUGUGAAGAUGCAGUGUACCCGCGGCAAGACGGAAAGACCCCGUGAACCUUUACUAUAGCUUGACACUGAACAUUGAGCCUUGAUGUGUAGGAUAGGUGGGAGGCUUUGAAGUGUGGACGCCAGUCUGCAUGGAGCCGGCCUUGAAAUACCACCCUUUAAUGUUUGAUGUUCUAACGUGGACCCGUGAUCCGGGUUGCGGACAGUGUCUGGUGGGUAGUUUGACUGGGGCGGUCUCCUCCUAAAGAGUAACGGAGGAGCACGAAGGUUGGCUAAUCCUGGUCGGACAUCAGGAGGUUAGUGCAAUGGCAUAAGCCAGCUUGACUGCGAGCGUGACGGCGCGAGCAGGUGCGAAAGCAGGUCAUAGUGAUCCGGUGGUUCUGAAUGGAAGGGCCAUCGCUCAACGGAUAAAAGGUACUCCGGGGAUAACAGGCUGAUACCGCCCAAGAGUUCAUAUCGACGGCGGUGUUUGGCACCUCGAUGUCGGCUCAUCACAUCCUGGGGCUGAAGUAGGUCCCAAGGGUAUGGCUGUUCGCCAUUUAAAGUGGUACGCGAGCUGGGUUUAGAACGUCGUGAGACAGUUCGGUCCCUAUCUGCCGUGGGCGCUGGAGAACUGAGGGGGCUGCUCCUAGUACGAGAGGACCGGAGUGGACGCAUCACUGGUGUUCGGGUUGUCAUGCCAAUGGCACUGCCCGGUAGCUAAAUGCGGAAGAGAUAAGUGCUGAAAGCAUCUAAGCACGAAACUUGCCCCGAGAUGAGUUCUCCCUGACCCUUUAAGGGUCCUGAAGGAACGUUGAAGACGACGACGUUGAUAGGCCGGGUGUGUAAGCGCAGCGAUGCGUUGAGCUAACCGGUACUAAUGAACCGUGAGGCUUAACCUU
rnacentral:rRNA from 1 species